GUGAAUAAUCUGCAGAUAAGGCAUCACUGCUUAUUUGUGUGUGAGCGCAAGAGUGCACAGUGAGAAAAGAAAAGAGAGAGAGAGAGAGAGAGAGAGAGAGAGAGAGAGAGAGAGAGAGAGAUAGAGAGAGAGAGAGAGAGAGAGAGAGAGAGAGA